AGAGUUUGAUCCUGGCUCAGGAUGAACGCUAGCUACAGGCUUAACACAUGCAAGUCGAGGGGCAGCAUGGUCUUAGCUUGCUAAGGCCGAUGGCGACCGGCGCACGGGUGAGUAACACGUAUCCAACCUGCCGUCUACUCUUGGACAGCCUUCUGAAAGGAAGAUUAAUACAAGAUGGCAUCAUGAGUCCGCAUGUUCACAUGAUUAAAGGUAUUCCGGUAGACGAUGGGGAUGCGUUCCAUUAGAUAGUAGGCGGGGUAACGGCCCACCUAGUCUUCGAUGGAUAGGGGUUCUGAGAGGAAGGUCCCCCACAUUGGAACUGAGACACGGUCCAAACUCCUACGGGAGGCAGCAGUGAGGAAUAUUGGUCAAUGGGCGAGAGCCUGAACCAGCCAAGUAGCGUGAAGGAUGACUGCCCUAUGGGUUGUAAACUUCUUUUAUAAAGGAAUAAAGUCGGGUAUGGAUACCCGUUUGCAUGUACUUUAUGAAUAAGGAUCGGCUAACUCCGUGCCAGCAGCCGCGGUAAUACGGAGGAUCCGAGCGUUAUCCGGAUUUAUUGGGUUUAAAGGGAGCGUAGAUGGAUGUUUAAGUCAGUUGUGAAAGUUUGCGGCUCAACCGUAAAAUUGCAGUUGAUACUGGAUAUCUUGAGUGCAGUUGAGGCAGGCGGAAUUCGUGGUGUAGCGGUGAAAUGCUUAGAUAUCACGAAGAACUCCGAUUGCGAAGGCAGCCUGCUAAGCUGCAACUGACAUUGAGGCUCGAAAGUGUGGGUAUCAAACAGGAUUAGAUACCCUGGUAGUCCACACGGUAAACGAUGAAUACUCGCUGUUUGCGAUAUAC
rnacentral:rRNA from 1 species